GGCCCAGAUCGUUUACCGUGAAAAAAUUAGAGUGUUCAAAGCAGGCAGAUCCAAUUUUCUGCCACCGAAUACAUUAGCAUGGGAUAAUGGAAUAGGACCCUGUCCUCCUAUUUUCAGUUGGUUUUGGCAGCGCGAGGACUAGGGUAAUGAUUAAUAGGGAUAGUUGGGGGCAUUAAUAUUUAAUUGUCAGAGGUGAAAUUCUUGGAUUUAUGAAAGAUUAACUUCUGCGAAAGCAUCUGCCAAGGAUGUUUUCAUUAAUCAAGAACGAAAGUUAGGGGAUCGAAGACGAUCAGAUACCGUCGUAGUCUUAACCAUAAACGAUGCCGACCAGCGAUUAGGAGACGUUGAAUACAAAACACCACCAUCGGCGCGGUCGUCCUUGGCGUCUCGGUUUCGGCCGGGGCGCGGGGACGGCUUAGCCCGGUGGCACCGGUGAAUGACUCCCUAGCAGCUUGUGAGA
rnacentral:rRNA from 5 species